GUCAACUCCUUUCUUAUCUGCUGAAAUGCACCCAGACUCCAGACUGAGAUGCCCGGUCCUCGGUGAGUCCUCCUCGCAGAGCUGCAGGUUCUCACAGAGCUGCUGGGUCUUCAGCUCAGGUUCAGUACUGAGCGCUGCUGCGGGCAUCCACAGAUUUAUGAUUCUUCUUCGCCUGAUUUGAAGAUGAAGCAUCUCAGAGAUCCAGAGAGCUUGGAUCGAGAGAACCUUCCAGAAGAGGGAAUGCAUCCAGAUUAUUCCCAGCAAAGACCCCAGCAGGUGCAGCUGUGGUCAGCUGGUGGCGCAGCACACUGCCAUCCCUCUAGGAGCCAAAGAGGAGG